rnacentral:rRNA from 1 species
CGGAGGAUCCAAGCGUUAUCCGGAUUUAUUGGGUUUAAAGGGUGCGUAGGCGGCUUAUUAAGUCAGGGGUGAAAGACGGUGGCUCAACCAUCGCAGUGCCCUUGAUACUGAUGAGCUUGAAUACACUUGAGGUAGGCGGAAUGUGACAAGUAGCGGUGAAAUGCAUAGAUAUGUCACAGAACACCAAUUGCGAAGGCAGCUUACUAAGGUGCAAUUGACGCUGAGGCACGAAAGCGUGGGGAUCAAACAGGAUUAGAUACCCUGGUAGUCCACGCCCUAAACGAUGAAUACUCGAUGUUAGCGAUAUACAGUUAGCGUCUAAGCGAAAGCGUUAAGUAUUCCACCUGGGGAGUACGCCCGCAAGGGUG